UACAGAGGGUGCGAGCGUUAAUCGGAAUUACUGGGCGUAAAGCGUGCGUAGGUGGUUUUUUAAGCUGGAUGUGAAAGCCCCGGGCUUAACCUGGGAACUGCAUUCAGGACUGGGAAACUCGAGUCUGGGAGAGGGUGGUGGAAUUUCCUGUGUAGCGGUGAAAUGCGUAGAUAUAGGAAGGAACACCAGUGGCGAAGGCGACCACCUGGACUGAUACUGACACUGAGGUGCGAAAGCGUGGGGAGCAAACAGGAUUAGAUACCCCUGUAGU
rnacentral:rRNA from 1 species